GACGAACCGUGCGAACGUUAUUCGGAAUCACUGGGCUUAAAGCGCGUGUAGGCGGGGCGGUGCGUCGGCCGCUGAAAUCCCCCGGCUCAACCGGGGAAGGGGCGCCGAUACGACCGGCCUGGAGCGACGUAGGGGGGACUGGAACUUCCGGUGGAGCGGUGAAAUGCGUUGAGAUCGGAAGGAACGCCCGUGGCGAAAGCGAGUCCCUGGACGUCGGCUGACGCUGAGGACGGCGAAAAGCCCAGGGGGAGCCGAAACGGGG
rnacentral:rRNA from 1 species